rnacentral:rRNA from 1 species
UGAGUAACCUGCCCUUAACUCUGGGAUAAGCCUGGGAAACUGGGUCUAAUACCGGAUAUGACUCCUCAUCGCAUGGUGGGGGGUGGAAAGCUUUUUUGUGGUUUUGGAUGGACUCGCGGCCUAUCAGCUUGUUGGUGAGGUAAUGGCUCACCAAGGCGACGACGGGUAGCCGGCCUGAGAGGGCGACCGGCCACACUGGGACUGAGACACGGCCCAGACUCCGUACGGGAGGCAG